UACGGGGGGGGCAAGCGUUGUUCGGAAUUACUGGGCGUAAAGGGCUCGUAGGCGGCCAACUAAGUCAGACGUGAAAUCCCUCGGCUUAACCGGGGAACUGCGUCUGAUACUGGAUGGCUUGAGUUUGGGAGAGGGAUGCGGAAUUCCAGGUGUAGCGGUGAAAUGCGUAGAUAUCAAGAGGAACACCGGAGGUGAAGACGGGUUGCUGGGCUGACACUGACGCUGAGGCGCGAAAGCUAGGGUAGCAAACGGG
rnacentral:rRNA from 1 species